CCUGACGCAGCNACGCCGCGUGGGGGAUGACGGCCUUCGGGUUGUAAACCUCUUUCGACCGGGACGAAGGAUUCGUUUGACGGUACCGGUAGAAGAAGCACCGGCUAACUACGUGCCAGCAGCCGCGGUAAUACGUAGGGUGCGAGCGUUGUCCGGAAUUAUUGGGCGUAAAGAGCUCGUAGGCGGUUUGUCGCGUCGGCCGUGAAAUCCUGCCGCUUAACGGUGGGCGUGCGGUCGAUACGGGCAGACUUGAGUUCGGUAGGGGAGACUGGAAUUCCUGGUGUAGCGGUGAAAUGCGCAGAUAUCAGGAGGAACACCGGUGGCGAAGGCGGGUCUCUGGGCCGAUACUGACGCUGAGGAGCGAAAGCGUGGGGAGCGAACAGGAUUAGAUACCCUGGUAGUCCACGCCGUAAACGGUGGGCGCUAGGUGUGGGGACUGUUUCCACGGUUCCUGUGCCGUAGCUAACGCAUUAAGCGCCCCGCCUGGGGAGUACGGCCGCAAGGCUAAAACUCAAAGGAAUUGACGG
rnacentral:rRNA from 1 species